rnacentral:rRNA from 1 species
AUUGAACGCUGGCGGCAGGCCUAACACAUGCAAGUCGAGCGGCUGAACGGUGCUUGCUCCUGGUUUCAGCGGCGGACGGGUGAGUGAGGCCUAGGAACCUCGCUAUUUGCUUUUGAUAACGGCCUAAAAUGGGCGCUAAUACCGCAUAACUCCUGACGGCGAAAGGGGGGGAUCUUGGGACCUUCCGCUCUCACAUGAUCCUAGGAGGGAUUAGCUAGUUGGUGGGGUAAAGGCCUACCAAGGCGACGAUCCGUAACUGGUCUGAGAGGAUGAUCAGCCACACUGGAACUGAGACACGGUCCAGACUCCUACGGGAGGCAGCAGUGGGGAAUAUUGGACAAUGGGCGCAAGCCUGAUCCAGCCAUGCCGCGUGGGUGAAGAAGGCCUUCGGGUUGUAAAGCCCUUUUGUUGGGAAAGAAAAGCAGCAGGUUAAUACCCCGCUGUUCUGACGGUACCAAAAGAAUAAGCACCGGCUAACUUCGUG